rnacentral:misc_RNA from 1 species
GAAAUGCGAUAAGUAAUGUGAAUUGCAGAAUUCAGUGAAUCAUCGAAUCUUUGAACGCACCUUGCGCUCCUUGGUAUUCCGAGGAGCAUGCCUGUUUGAGUGUCAUGAAAUUCUCAACCUUUCUAGCUUUUAUAGCUUGUCAGGCUUGGAUUUUGGAAGCUGCUGGUUCAGCACGAAUCAGCUCUUCUUAAAUGUAUUAGCAGAAACCUUUGCUGACCAUCUUUGGUAUGAUAAUUAUCUAUAUCAUUGACAAUCAGUGUCCUUAAGAGGAGAGGCUUCGCUUCUAAUAGUCUUUUAGACAACUUGACAACUUUGACCUCAAAUCAGGUAGGACUACCCGCUGAACUUAA